GGCCUAACACAUGCAAGUCGAACGCCCCGCAAGGGGAGUGGCGCACGGGUGAGUAACACGUGGGAACCUACCUUCUGGUACGGAACAACCAAGGGAAACUUUGGCUAAGACCGUAUACGACCUCCGGGUGAAAGAUUUAUCGCCGGAAGAGGGGCCCGCGUCCGAUUAGGUAGUUGGUGAGGUAACGGCUCACCAAGCCGACGAUCGGUAGCUGGUCUGAGAGGAUGACCAGCCACACUGGGACUGAGACACGGCCCAGACUCCUACGGGAGGCAGCAGUGGGGAAUAUUGGACAAUGGGCGCAAGCCUGAUCCAGCCAUGCCGCGUGAGUGAUGAAGGCCUUCGGGUUGUAAAGCUCUUUCACCCACGACGAUGAUGACGGUAGUGGGAGAAGAAGCCCCGGCUAACUUCGUGCCAGCAGCCGCGGUAAUACGAAGGGGGCAAGCGUUG
rnacentral:rRNA from 1 species